rnacentral:rRNA from 1 species
GUAGCAGUGAAUUGCGUAGAGAUAUGUCGAACACCAGUGGGCAAGAGAGUGUGUGGUCUGCAAGAGACACUGUGACGCGAUAGCGUGCUGAGCAAACUGGAUAAGAUACACUGGUAGUCCAGGAAGUAAACGAUGAUUGUUAAGUGUAAGAUGGUCUACUCCCCAUAGUGCUGAAGUUGAUGCAUUAAGCACUUUGCCUUGAGAGUAAGGAAGCAAGGCUGAAACUCAAAGGAAUCGAUGAGGGCCAAUACGAGCGGUGGAGCAUGUGGUUUAAUUGGAAGCAACGCGUAGAACCUCACCAGGUCUUGACAUCCUCUGACAACCCUAGAGAUAGGGCUUAUCCUUAGGGAUUAUAGUGACAGGUGGUGCAUGGUUGUCGUCAGCUCGUGUCGUGAGAUGUUGGGUUAAGUCCCGCAACGAGCGCAACCCUUGAUCUUAGUUGCCAGCAUUAAGUUGGGCACUCUAAGGUGACUGCCGGUGACAAACCGGAGGAAGGUGGGGAUGACGUCAAAUCAUCAUGCCCCUUAUGACCUGGGCUACACACGUGCUACAAUGGACGGUACAAAGAGUCGCAAGACCGCGAGGUGGAGCUAAUCUCAUAAAACCGUUCUCAGUUCGGAUUGUAGGCUGCAACUCGCCUACAUGAAGCUGGAAUCGCUAGUAAUCGCGGAUCAGCAUGCCGCGGUGAAUACGUUCCCGGGCCUUGUACACACCGCCCGUCACACCACGAGAGUUUGUAACACCCGAAGUCGGUGGGGUAACCUUUUGGAGCCAGCCGCCUAAGGUGGGACAGAUGAUUGGGGUGAAGUCGUAACAAGGUAGCCGUAUCGGAAGGUGCGGCUGGAUCACCUCCUU